UACGGGGGGGGGCAAGCGUUGUUCGGAAUUACUGGGCGUAAAGGGUUUGUAGGUGGCCCGCUAAGUCACACGUGAAAUCCCUCAGCUUAACUGGGGAACUGCGUGUGAGACUGGCAGGCUCGAGGGCAGGAGAGGAACGCGGAAUUCCAGGUGUAGCGGUGAAAUGCGUAGAUAUCUGGAGGAACACCGGUGGCGAAGGCGGCGCGCUGGAUCCCUACUGACGCUGAGGCACGAAAGCCAGGGGAGCAAACGGGG
rnacentral:rRNA from 1 species